GAAUAAUUUAUGCGACAGUAACCAGCCACAUUUUGCUGCUCCAGGUGCCUGGAUCUUGAAUUAAUAUCUGAAAAAUCAACCCCAGGCUUUUUCGUCAAAAAAUUUGAUCUUUGAAAUUCAAUUUGGUGUUCCCAACAACCAGAAAACUUCUUCAGAUUCGUUUCAAUGUCGACGAAAGAAGAUGAAUUUGGAACAAACAAAAAACAUCAUUUGUAUGAAAGACGAGGAGAGCUGUAAUAUAACAAGAUUGAUUGAAGAACACAAUAGCACUGAAAAGUAAAGAUUCAGAAACAAUGGAGAAAUUUGAAGAUCCCCAAAUGAAUUGCAUAAUGAGGACCUUUAUUUGAAGCAU